UACGUAGGGGGCAAGCGUUGUCCGGAAUCAUUGGGCGUAAAGCGCGUGUAGGCGGCUCAGUAAGUCCGCUCUGAAAGCCCGGGGCUUAACCCCGGGAGGCGGGUGGAUACUGCUGAGCUUGAGUCCGGAAGAGGCGAGUGGAAUUCCCGGUGUAGCGGUGAAAUGCGUAGAUAUCUGGAGGAACACCGGUGGCGAAGGCGGCAUCCUGGACCGACACUGACGCUGAGGAGCGAAAGCCAGGGGAGCAAACGGG
rnacentral:rRNA from 1 species